UACGUAGGCAGCGAGCGUUGUUCGGAAUUACUGGGCGUAAAGAGUGUGUAGGCGGUGCUCUAAGUUCGGUGUGAAAUCUCCUGGCUCAACUGGGAGGGUGCGCCGGAAACUGGAGUGCUCGAGGGUGGGAGAGGUAAGCGGAAUUCCUGGUGUAGCGGUGAAAUGCGUAGAUAUCAGGAGGAACACCUGUGGUGUAGACAGCUUACUGGACCACAACUGACGCUGAUGCACGAAAGCUAGGGGAGCAAACAGG
rnacentral:rRNA from 1 species